rnacentral:rRNA from 1 species
GACGAACGCUGGCGGCGUGCCUAAUACAUGCAAGUCGAACGCUGAAGAGAGGAGCUUGCUCUUCUUGGAUGAGUUGCGAACGGGUGAGUAACGCGUAGGUAACCUGCCUUGUAGCGGGGGAUAACUAUUGGAAACGAUAGCUAAUACCGCAUAACAAUGGAUGACACAUGUCAUUUAUUUGAAAGGGGCAAUUGCUCCACUACAAGAUGGACCUGCGUUGUAUUAGCUAGUAGGUGAGGUAAUGGCUCACCUAGGCGACGAUACAUAGCCGACCUGGGAGGGUGAUCGGCCACACUGGGACUGGGACACGGCCCAGACUCCUACGGGAGGCAGCAGUAGGGAAUCUUCGGCAAUGGGGGCAACCCUGACCGAGCAACGCCGCGUGAGUGAAGAAGGUUUUCGGAUCGUAAAGCUCUGUUGUAAGUCAAGAACGGGUGUGAGAGUGGAAAGUUCACACUGUGACGGUAGCUUACCAGAAAGGGACGGCUAACUACGUG